ensembl:lncRNA
CCCUCCCCCAGAUUCCCGGCGCCCCGCCUUCCCUGAAGCUCAUAAAAGCGCAGGUCCCCCGCCUGGGCAGCCACUGGACACCUGCAACUGCCUACAGGACUGAAAGGCGACGAAGACUGUGAAGUUUGACGGUCUGGAAAGCAGAGGCCAGCCGCGCUGACUAUCUGGGAGCGCCGGAAAGCGCGCCUGGAAGAAGAGUGGAGGGGGAAAAAACUGUGCUGGUUCCCAAGAGAGAGAAGAACAGAGGGGAUUGGAGUGACCUGGGGAGGAGAGGAAAGCAAAUCAAGUUUCUUCAGCGCCGAGGCGGAGAACAGCUCUCCGAAGACCACGGAAGGAAAUUGCUAUUUAUUUCAGCACCUAGACUCCGGACAGCGCCGCUCGGGGUCCAGGAAGCAAGCCACAACCUGCUUCAGCACCAGAGCUCCGGACAGCUCCUAGGGAUUUCGGGGCCGACUUCAUUUCAGAACCAGGACGCUGGAUAG